rnacentral:rRNA from 1 species
GACGAACCCGUCCAAACGUUAUUCGGAAUCACUGGGCUUAAAGGGUGCGUAGGCGGCGCGGAAAGUUGGGUGUGAAAUCCCUCGGCUCAACCGAGGAACGGCGCCCAAAACUUCCCUGCUCGAGGAAGAUAGAGGUGAGCGGAACUUAGGGUGGAGCGGUGAAAUGCGUUGAUAUCCUAAGGAACACCGGUGGCGAAAGCGGCUCACUGGAUCUUUUCUGACGCUGAGGCACGAAAGCUAGGGUAGCGAACGGGAUUAGAACCU